rnacentral:rRNA from 1 species
GUAGGGAAUAUUGCGCAAUGAGGGAAACCCUGACGCAGCGACGCCGCGUGAGUGAUGAAGGCCUUCGGGUCGUAAAGCUCUGUUGCAGGGGAAUAAAAAAAUGAAGGUACCCUGUGAGGAAGGAUCGGCUAACUUCGUGCCAGCAGCCGCGGUAAGACGAGGGAUCCUAGCGUUGCUCGGAAUCAUUGGGCGUAAAGAGGGCGUGGGUGGCUUGGUAAGUCAGGUGUGAAAGCCUAGGGCUCAACCCUGGAAGUGCAUUUGAUACUGCUGAGCAUGAGUGUCGGAGAGGUUACGGGAAUACCUGGUGUAGUGAUGAAAUACGUAGAUAUCAGGUGGAACACCGGAGGCGAAGGCGGGUAACUGGACGAACACUGACAAUGAGGCCCGAAAGCGUGGGGAUCAAACAGGAUUAGAUACCCUAGUAGUCC